UACGAAGGGGGCUAGCGUUGCUCGGAAUCACUGGGCGUAAAGCGCACGUAGGCGGAUUGUUAAGUCAGGGGUGAAAUCCUGGAGCUCAACUCCAGAACUGCCUUUGAUACUGGCGAUCUUGAGUCCGGGAGAGGUGAGUGGAACUCCGAGUGUAGAGGUGAAAUUCGUAGAUAUUCGGAAGAACACCAGUGGCGAAGGCGGCUCACUGGCCCGGUACUGACGCUGAUGGUGCGAAAGCGUGGGGAGCAAACAGG
rnacentral:rRNA from 1 species